UAGAGAAUGUCUGCAGGUUGAAUCUCUAGC
rnacentral:piRNA from 1 species